UACGAAGGGGGCUAGCGUUGCUCGGAAUUACUGGGCGUAAAGGGCGCGUAGGCGGAUAUCUAAGUUGGGGGUGAAAUCCCGGGGCUCAUCCUCGGAAUUGCCUUCAAAACUGGAUAUCUUGAGUUCGGGAGAGGUGAGUGGAACUCCGAGUGUAGAGGUGAAAUUCGUAGAUAUUCGGAAGAACACCAGUGGCGAAGGCGACUCACUGGCCCGAUACUGACGCUGAGGCGCGAAAGCGUGGGGAGCAAACAGG
rnacentral:rRNA from 1 species